ACAAGACCUCUCAUUGACAAGACAACAGCCGUCGUGCAUCAGCAUGGACAUGAAUUUCAAAUUGAGAAGAGGAAACACGGAAAACCUGUCAAUUUUUUCAUGUGUCAUUCGGUAAAAAUUCAAAAACCUGUAUCAACAACAUAGAAGGAAUGUACAGAAGUCAUGUUUGAUUGAGAAAAGUUACGACAAGUAGGUAAACUUUGAAAAAUACGAUUGCUGUCAGUGUCGGAAAGAAUGACCCGACUUGACCCAGAUAUGAGACAGCCGAAACCAGGAAUGACAAGAGAACCGGUGUUACAGUUUAAUCCGGACAACAAGUUUAAUGAACAUCGUUUGUGAUUUGAGACAAGUGUGACUGAUGGGAAACAUGUGCAUGUGGGAUUUUAGGAGGACUUGUCAAACGCACUUGUGGAGUGGUCACAGUCAGAUGACGGGAGUUUGUUGAUAUUUUGAUGUGUUUCAUAAUGGUCGAAUACCUGUUGAUAGACUAACACGGUAUCUGGAGACUUAGUGACAAGCUGUCCGCAUUCACAGAGUUCAUUUAGUUCAAUGUCGGACACAGGAUCACCUCGCUGGGUUAUCGAUGUCAUCAUCAUUCACAAAGGCAAACCUGUCUAUACAAAGUCCGGUUUUGGGGAUUCGUGUGGUCGAAAGAUUUGCCAAACAGCAAGUCCUCUAACACAGACGCAAAUCUGAAUCUUGGAACUUCAAUCUGGCCAUAUGCAGUUUUGACAACAAAGACAUUAAAUGUGUUCAGAGGUUGAAUUAUGCGAAUAACUCUUCCUGUCAGAGCUCCGUCUACUUUAAUGAGGUCAUUUAGUUUGACAGGUGUCAAAUGGUCAGCCAUGUUUGUUUACAAACAAUGCAGACGUAGUUUUGUUUUUUGUAAUUACGCUUAUUGUAAACUAAAACUCGUGCGAAAUAAAUGCUUUAUUCAUUAUAA